GAUCCUGGCUCAGGAUGAACGCUAGCUACAGGCUUAACACAUGCAAGUCGAGGGGCGAGCAUGUCGGUUGCUUGCAACCGAUGAUGGCGACCGGCGCACGGGUGAGUAACGCGUAUCCAACCUACCCUUGUCCAUCGGAUAACCCGUCGAAAGGCGGCCUAACACGAUAUGUGGUUCUCAGCAGGCAUCUCACGAGAACGAAAUGUGAAGGAGAAGGGAUGGGGAUGCGU
rnacentral:rRNA from 1 species